rnacentral:tRNA from 3 species
CGGGGUGUGGCGCAGCGGAAGCGCACUGGUCUGGGGGACCAGGGGUCGUUGGUUCAAAUCCAAUCACCCCGA